rnacentral:rRNA from 1 species
AGUGAACGCUGGCGGUAGGCCUAACACAUGCAAGUCGAACGGCAGCACAGUAAGAGCUUGCUCUUACGGGUGGCGAGUGGCGGACGGGUGAGGAAUACAUCGGAAUCUACUUUUUCGUGGGGGAUAACGUAGGGAAACUUACGCUAAUACCGCAUACGACCUACGGGUGAAAGCGGGGGAUCUUCGGACCUUUCGCGAUUGAAUGAGCCGAUGUCGGAUUAGCUAGUUGGCGGGGUAAAGGCCCACCAAGGCGACGAUCCGUAGCUGGUCUGAGAGGAUGAUCAGCCACACUGGAACUGAGACACGGUCCAGACUCCUACGGGAGGCAGCAGUGGGGAAUAUUGGACAAUGGGCGCAAGCCUGAUCCAGCCAUACCGCGUGGGUGAAGAAGGCCUUCGGGUUGUAAAGCCCUUUUGUUGGGAAAGAAAAGCAGCAGGUUAAUACCCCGCUGUUCUGACGGUACCCAAAGAAUAAGCACCGGCUAACUUCGUG